UACGAAGGGUGCAAGCGUUGUUCGGAAUUACUGGGCGUAAAGCGCGCGUAGGCGGGCUGGCAAGUCGAUUGUGAAAGCCCUGGGCUUAACCUGGGAAUUGCAGUCGAAACUGCCGGUCUUGAGUGCCUGAGAGGAUGGCGGAAUUCCCGGUGUAGUAGUGAAAUACGUAGAUAUCGGGAAGAACACCUGAGGCGAAGGCGGCUAUCUGGCGGUGCACUGACGCUGAGGCGCGAAAGCGUGGGGAGCAAAC
rnacentral:rRNA from 1 species